UUUUCCCGCAAGGGAAAACUGAGUGGCGAACGGGUGAGUAACACGUGGGUGACCUACCUUCGAGUGGGGGAUAACGUCCCGAAAGGGACGCUAAUACCGCAUAACAUCCUGCCUUUGAACAGGCGGAGAUCAAAGCCGGGGAUCGUAAGACCUGGCGCUUGAUGAGGGGCCCGCGUCCGAUUAGCUAGUUGGUGAGGUAAUGGCUCACCAAGGCAACGAUCGGUAGCCGGCCUGAGAGGGCGGACGGCCACACUGGGACUGAGACACGGCCCGGACUCCUACGGGAGGCAGCAGUGGGGAAUUGUUCGCAAUGGGCGCAAGCCUGACGACGCAACGCCGCGUGGAGGAUGAAGGUCUUCGGA
rnacentral:rRNA from 1 species